rnacentral:rRNA from 1 species
UACGAAGGGGCUAGCGUUGCUCGGAAUCACUGGGCGUAAAGGGUGCGUAGGCGGGUCUUUAAGUCAGGGGUGAAUCCUGGAGCUCAACUCCAGAACUGCCUUGAUACUGAAGAUCUUGAGUUCGGGAGAGGUGAGUGGAACUGCGAGUGUAGAGGUGAAAUUCGUAGAUAUUCGCAAGAACACCAGUGGCGAAGGCGGCUCACUGGCCCGAUACUGACGCUGAGGAGCGAAAGCGUGGGAG